rnacentral:rRNA from 1 species
GACGAACGCUGGCGGCGUGCUUAACACAUGCAAGUCGAACGGAAAGGCCCUGCUUUUGUGGGGUGCUCGAGUGGCGAACGGGUGAGUAACACGUGAGUAACCUGCCCUUGACUUUGGGAUAACUUCAGGAAACUGGGGCUAAUACCGGAUAGGAGCUCCUGCUGCAUGGUGGGGGUUGGAAAGUUUCGGCGGUUGGGGAUGGACUCGCGGCUUAUCAGCUUGUUGGUGGGGUAGUGGCUUACCAAGGCUUUGACGGGUAGCCGGCCUGAGAGGGUGACCGGCCACAUUGGGACUGAGAUACGGCCCAGACUCCUACGGGAGGCAGCAGUGGGGAAUAUUGCACAAUGGGCGGAAGCCUGAUGCAGCAACGCCGCGUGCGGGAUGGCGGCCUUCGGGUUGUAAACCGCUUUCGACUGUGACGAAGCGUGAGUGACGGUAAUGGGUAAAGAAGCACCGGCUAACUACGUG